ensembl:lncRNA CASC15 cancer susceptibility 15
UUUUUUUUUUUUUUUUCUAUUUUUUUUUUUUAAAUUCUGAAGCCAGACCGUCUUUCCUCACAGCUCCACGGCUGCAUCUCCGUGGGCACGCAAGCUUCCCCUGGUUACCUGAGCUGCUCCUGCCGUCUCCCGCCUGGGCUUCGCCGUGGUGCACCCGAUCCCGGAAUCGUGCGUCUGCGCCCUGCGAAAGAAGGACCUGCUGGCGGAGCUCCGGCCGGGGUCUCCUGCCUCGCAGCUGGGCGAGGGGACUUGGAGGACAGGGUGAAGCUGCAGAAGACCUGGGGUGGGAUGGCUAGAGAGGACGCCAAGGACUGGGGAAGGGGAAGUUAGGAAUACCUUACAUCCAAUGCCCACCCGUGCUCCGCAGGGCAAGGGCAGCCGUCGCCUCGGCCGCGUGCACCCAGCUCAGGCUGUUCCCAGGGAUUUAGUCUGGGGGGACAACCCAUGGCGAGAUGUGGUGGCAUUUUACCUCAGAGUGGAGCUGAAGAUGGAUAAACAAGGUAUCUGAUGUAUCUGCCUGAGAAGGCAGAGCUGGAGAAAGGCGGAGCGAGGGAGCGCGUGAAAAGAAAGAGAUGCCGAAUGCCGGGUGAUUGUCUGCCGCUUGCUGUGCAUUCUCAUUCUAGGGAGGAUGGCAUAAUUUAUAACCCAGCACAUGGAUAGAGGAACUGUAAAUUGUAGUCUGGAUGUCCCCGGCGCUGUCGACGAAGGAACUGAUGGGCUAGGCUCACAGGCAGAAGGAAUUUUCCUUGUCUUGGAUGAGACUUUUGACUUGGACUUUUGGGUUAAGGCUGGAGUGCAAUGGUGCAAUCUUGGCUCACUGAAAUCUCCACCUCCUGGGUUCAAGCAAUUCUCAUGCUUCAGCCUCCCAAGUAGCUGGGAUUACAGUUCUGGAGACCAGAAGGCCAAAAUCAAAAGUAUGGGCAGGCUUGAUUUCUUUAGAAGACUCCAGCGGAGAACUGUGUCUCCUUGCUUCUGAUUCUACAUCUCCAUCCAUGGGCCACUGUUUCAGCAACCUCAGCCAGUGCAACACAACCUCAGCCAAGAAGAGUAUGCAGAGAAAGGAGUCCCCUACCUGCCACAAAACUGUUGUCUGAAAACUGUCUCAUAUUGUCUCAAGUUGUCAUUCAUUGUGAAUUAGACCUGUUUAACAUGUAAUCUGCAACAUGCUUCACUGUCUAAUUUUCCAGAGCCCCUCAUAUAAGGAACUGUAUUAUUGGUAUAAUCAUCAUGGUGAAGAAGUUGGUAUGUGGGGGAGAGAUGACAGAAACAGAGAGUAAGUCAGAGCUGGCUGCCUGACAGAUAAAAAGGAAAUGACCAAAAAAAAAAAAAAAGACACAGAAGAA